GACGAACGCUGGCGGCGUGCCUAAUACAUGCAAGUUGAGCGAUGAAGAUUGGUGCUUGCACCAAUUUGAAGAGCAGCGAACGGGUGAGUAACGCGUGGGGAAUCUGCCUUUGAGCGGGGGACAACAUUUGGAAACGAAUGCUAAUACCGCAUAAUAACUUUAAACAUAAGUUUUAAGUUUGAAAGAUGCAAUUGCAUCACUCAAAGAUGAUCCCGCGUUGUAUUAGCUAGUUGGUGAGGUAAAGGCUCACCAAGGCGAUGAUACAUAGCCGACCUGAGAGGGGGAUCGGCCAAAUUGGGACUGGGACCCGGCCCAAAAUCCUACGGGAGGCAGCAGUAGGGAAUCUUCGGCAAUGGACGAAAGUCUGACCGAGCAACGCCGCGUGAGUGAAGAAGGUUUUCGGAUCGUAAAACUCUGUUGGUAGAGAAGAACGUUGGUGAGAGUGGAAAGCUCAUCAAGUGACGGUAACUACCCAGAAAGGGACGGCUAACUACGUG
rnacentral:rRNA from 1 species